rnacentral:lncRNA from 1 species
AUUAAAUUGAAUUGGUUAUAUUUUCUCUGUACAUAAUAUAUUCAAAUCAUAUUUUGUUGUAUAAGUUGUGGAAUUUUAAAAUCAUUCUUGCAAUGAUAUGAUCCUUGAUUAGUUGAUUGCUUAAUAUUUUUCAUGAACCAAUAAAAUGUCUAUUUGAUAACUAAAAUACUUGGUCACAAUACAUAUAAAACUCUAUUUAAAUAAUAUAUACAAUCUAUCUCCUUCUUUAAUCCACAUCAAAUAAAUAAAGACUUUGUUGUUGAUAACUUCUUAAUAU